rnacentral:rRNA from 1 species
AGAGUUUUGAAUCUGGCUCAGAUUGAACGCUGGCGGCAGGCCUAACACAUGCAAGUCGAACGGUAACAGGAAGCAGCUUGCUUCUUCGCUGACGAGUGGCGGACGGGUGAGUAAUGUCUGGGAAACUGCCUGAUGGAGGGGGAUAACUACUGGAAACGGUAGCUAAUACCGCAUAACGUCGCAAGACCAAAGAGGGGGACCUUCGGGCCUCUUGCCAUCGGAUGUGCCCAGAUGGGAUUAGCUAGUAGGUGGGGUAACGGCUCACCUAGGCGACGAUCCCUAGCUGGUCUGAGAGGAUGACCAGCCACACUGGAACUGAGACACGGUCCAGACUCCUACGGGAGGCAGCAGUGGGGAAUAUUGCACAAUGGGCGCAAGCCUGAUGCAGCCAUGCCGCGUGUAUGAAGAAGGCCUUCGGGUUGUAAAGUACUUUCAGCGGGGAGGAAGGGAGUAAAGUUAAUACCUUUGCUCAUUGACGUUACCCGCAGAAGA